UACGUAGGCGGAAUAAUAAGUCAGUAGUGAAAUCCUGCGGCUCAACCGUAGAACUGCCAUUGAUACUGUUAUUCUUGAAUAUAGUUGAGGUAGGCGGAAUGUGUAAUGUAGCGGUGAAAUGCUUAGAUAUUACACAGAACACCGAUUGCGAAGGCAGCUUACUAAACUAUUAUUGACGCUGAUGUACGAAAGCGUGGGGAGCGAACAGGAUUAGAUACCCUGGUAGUCC
rnacentral:rRNA from 1 species